rnacentral:rRNA from 1 species
CCUACGGGUGGCAGCAGUGGGGAAUAUUGCACAAUGGGGGAAACCCUGAUGCAGCGACGCCGCGUGAGUGAAGAAGUAAUUCGUUACGUAAAGCUCUAUCAGCAGGGAAGAAAAUGACGGUACCUGAGUAAGAAGCCCCGGCUAACUACGUGCCAGCAGCCGCGGUCAUACGUAGGGGGCAAGCGUUAUCCGGAUUGACUGGGUGUACGGGGAGCGUAGACGGUGCGCCAGGGCUGGAGUGAAAGGCCGCGGCUUAACUGAGGAACUGCUUUGGAGACUGGCGAACUAGAGUGCGGGAGGGGGAAGCGGAAUUCCUAGUGUAGCGGUGAAAUGCGUAGAUAUUAGGAAGAACACCGGUGGCGAAGGCGGCUUACUGGACCGUAACUGACGUUGAGGCUCGAAAGCGUGGGGAGCAAACAGGAUUAGAUACCCGGGUAGUC